UACAGAGGUGGCAAGCGUUGUUCGGAAUUACUGGGCGUAAAGGGCGCGUAGGUGGCCACUAUAAGGCCGCGGUGAAAGUUCGGGGCUCAACCCUGAAUCUGCCGCGGCGACUGUAGGGCUAGGGCACCGUAGAGGCAGAUGGAAUUCCAGGUGUAGCGGUGAAAUGCGUAGAUAUCUGGAGGAACACCGGUGGCGAAGGCGGCAUCCUGGACCAACACUGACGCUGAGGAGCGAAAGCCAGGGGAGCAAACGGGG
rnacentral:rRNA from 1 species